UGCGCAGGCGGGCUAUUAAGUCAGUGGUGAAAUCUCUCGGCUCAACCGAGAAACUGCCAUUGAAACUGAUAGUCUUGAGUAUGGUUGUGGUAGGCGGAAUAUAGCAUGUAGCGGUGAAAUGCUUAGAUAUGCUAUAGAACACCGAUCGCGAAGGCAGCUUACCAAGCCAUUACUGACGCUCAUGCACGAAAGCGUGGGGAGCAAACAGGAUUAGAUACCCUGGUAGUC
rnacentral:rRNA from 1 species